AAGUCCCGCUGCUGCUUGUCGGGGAUCGCCCAACCCUUCUGGAUCUUACACAGCUCCUCUAGGCCAUCGUUGAACCCCUGAAACACAACGAGACAAUGACAACUUCUCCCACCCACCUACAUCCACAGUGAAUCAGUGCACUGCAGGACAAACCACAUGAAGUCAUGAAAUGCUCAACCCGACACCUGAGUUUGUUCAGGCUACUGUGUCAGAGGCAAACGGGCCUCAGCCACUGACCUUGGCUCCAGGUAGACCUACAGGCAUGUUCCUGUCCGUCAGAUGCUCCGUCACCUUGACCCAGCUGCAACACAACACAACAUCACUUCACACUGGACUCACGCCUUUGUCUUGUUUAAAGUGCUCAGGUUUACCUGCGCUGGUACAUCUGCAUCUGCUGCUCAAUCAGUUCUCUGUACUGACUCUCUGCUUUCUUCUGGGUCACCGUUACCAGCUGGAUCAAGUCCGACCUGAAUCCAAGCACAGCACAGAGCUGCCAUCAAAUGAGCACCACACGUUGACUUGGCUCCUCAGUUCACACUGCUUCCACAUUAACACCCUCACACUGGCUCUAACACGCAUCACCACCAGCGCAGGUCAAAAAGCCCAUUAACACAUUACAAACCGUUAACAUCUACUACGUCUCUGACCCAGCACAUGCUCAUUAUGAAGCUCUGUUAACGGGCCUGUGUUGUGCUCCUACUCACUUCUCCAGGGACUUCAGGAUGUAGUUGUAGUUGUUGUGCAGGAAGAUGGCGCUCAGAGCAGAGUCCUCGUACACCUUUGACUUACUGAGCAGAUUCAGCUGCAAAUUCCCUAAAACUUUGCCUGAAACAUAAACCAGCCAUUGGCUUGGACACAUGACCACAUUCAUCGAGAUCUGCAAACCUAAAGGCUGGCGUUUGGCCAUGAAUGGCAACCUAACAAGUACAAUGCUCAGAUCAGCUGUCUGUGAAUAGGACUCAGUGAUGCCGAGUCGACCAGCUGCAGCCUCCACAUCACAUGCAUGAAACAAAGCAGUAGGUCUACGCCUCUGCCCAAUGUCACACUUCUCUCUACAAGCCGUUACAUGUUGUAUUUGACCGUUGAGCAGAUCAGUGUUUGUCCUCAUCACAGCUCGUCUUGUCUACUCACAUAUGUAAGUGCUGAGAAGCCUUUUGUUGAACUCCGAGGUGGAGCCACCGCCUGACGAACUCGUCUCUGGGGGAAAAACACAGGCAGCGGGAGCGUUCACUCAGUGGACAGCUUCACAUUUCCUGUCAACGUCUUCAACCAGCAUUCACAAUCACACCCCUCAUGGGCUUACACAGGCAGCGGCUUACCUCGGGGGUCUAAAGGGAUAUUGUAAGUGUUCCCCAGCACUACAAGGGCCGAGGCAAGAAGAGAGGAAAGAGAGGCACAAGUGCAAAAAGGUUAGCGAAGACUUGUUAGUGCAGCGUAAACCCAGCAGGCAAAGACAACAGGACAGAGCGUCCACGCAUGCACAAAGACAGCAAAGUAAAGCUGCGUGUGGCAAGAAAAAGGAAGGCAAAAAGGUCAAAGCUAGCCUGCCUGGCGUCACCUUACCUUGUGAGGCCAACAUGGCGCCGGCCGUCUCGUGGAAGUCCAGCAGCUGCUGCAGGAACAGGAUGGCCUGUAGGACACACGUCACAGCGUCAGCUCCUCUCACACAGGUGCACCUUUCAUCCACAAACCCACGACGGAGGGCGGCGCCUUACGUUGCUGGUCAGCUCAUGGACCGUUCCAUCCUUGGGCAUGUUGUACUCUUUGUCUGGAUCGUUCUGUGGUUCAACAGGACACUAUGAGCAAAUACAGUUCACUAACACGCACACACACAUUCUUGUACUUGGGGACCUCCAUUGACAUAAUGCCUUCCCAACCCCUCACUCUAACCAUCACAAAUAAAGGCACCAAAAGUCAAUUCUAACCUCAGCCCUAAAAUCACAUCUUAACCCUUAAACAGGCCUUCAAAGAAGUGAGGACAGGCCAAAAAUGUCACUUUGGUAGGAAAAUACGUUUUUUGGUCCUCACUUGAUGCAAGUACACACACACACACAGCGUCUUGCCUUGAU